UGUUCAAAAAAGCAGUCUUUUAUCACUUAUUCGGCUACAGAAGUAGAUUUCCAGCACUUCUUCUCAAUGCAAAAAUCCCGUCAGACGGGCCGUUGACGGGCUACUAACGUUUAAAAUUUUAAAUAAUUGGUAAUUGAUGAUGGAAAAUUUUGAAAAAAAUAAUUAACGAUUCUGUUCAUGUUAUAAACAUUGUCCUAGAAUUUCAAAUGUUUCCAACCAAAAUUGAGAAAGUUAUAUCAUUUUUUCAAAUUAGAUUCCAGUUUGUGCUAAAAAUCAUGUCACACACCAAGCCUAUGAAAUAAUUUUCAAGUUUCAAAUUCAAAUAAUAAUAAACUAGGUACUAUUUUAUUGAUUCCAACAUUAUUUCAGUGAAAGCACAAAUGUCCACCAUAAAGAAAUCAUUAAUCCAUCCCAGAAAUAUGGACUGUUAUCUGUUUUAAUGUUAACAAUAAAGAUUGUCUAUAUCAAUAACUUUGAAACUCCCGGGGUGAUUUGUGCUUGUGCACUACUGCGCUUGAGCGACAGCCAUUAAAGAUGUCCUCGGCCUGUCUUCUUUAGUUUUCAGUAGUUGAAGGUGAAGUAUUGCAGUAUUGGUUCGUUGUUUGUUUAUCCUUUAUUUUAUCGCGUCAUCAAGUUGAUGAUGAUUUUUGAUUGCUGAAGGUCUUAAAUUAAGACGAAGGUGGGAAUAGAACUGCAGAUACAUAUUAUACUAAAAUCCACCAUGACAGAUGAAUAUGAUGCCAAGGAUUAGAUUUGAAAAAAGUUCUUCUCCUCUCUACAUUUGAUGAAAGCCAUUUUCAGCAAAGGUGGGAAUAGAACUGCAGACGCAUAUACCAAAAUCCACCAUGACAGACGAAUAUGCUGCCAACUACAGUUUUAGAUUUAAAACUCCUUUCUACAUCUGAUGGAAACCAUUUUCAGACCAAGAGCAGAGAGACUACGCCUCAUGAAGCUCAAAUCGAGGACGAUAGCAGUUCAAAGUAAAAAUAUAUAAUUAGUAAUAAAUUGAAAGUUCAAUUUUUGUAAUAUUUAAUAAAAAUCAUUGAAUUUUAUUGAAAA
rnacentral:lncRNA from 1 species